rnacentral:rRNA from 1 species
UGGGGAAUAUUGCGCAAUGGGGGGAACCCUGACGCAGCCAUGCCGCGUGAAUGAAGAAGGCCUUCGGGUUGUAAAGUUCUUUCGGUAUUGAGGAAGGUUGAUGUGUUAAUAGCACAUCAAAUUGACGUUAAAUACAGAAGAAGCACCGGCUAACUCCGUGCCAGCAGCCGCGGUAAUACGGAGGGUGCGAGCGUUAAUCGGAAUAACUGGGCGUAAAGGGCACGCAGGCGGUUAUUUAAGUCAGAUGUGAAAGCCCCGGGCUUAACCUGGGAACUGCAUCUGAUACUGGAUAACUAGAGUAGGUGAGAGGGGAGUAGAAUUCCAGGUGUAGCGGUGAAAUGCGUAGAGAUCUGGAGGAAUACCGAUGGCGAAGGCAGCUCCCUGGCAUCAUACUGACACUGAGGUGCGAAAGCGUGGGUAGCAAACAGGAUUAGAUACCCUGGUAGUUCACCCCGUAAACGAUGUCUACCAGUCGUUGGGUCUUUUAAAGACUUAGUGACGCAGUUAACGCAAUAAGUAGACCGCCUGGGGAGUACGGCCGCAAGGUUA